UGAGGUUCUGUUAAAAUGGCGGAAUUUUCCUGAGCAUUAUACGGACAAAAGUAAACAUUGAGGAAAGUGUCACGUUUUCAAGUUUUACUGCAGGUGCUGUAAUGGACUGAUGUAGUUACUGUUCCUGUUUCCCUUGUAUCACGUCCCCCUAUGUUGAUUCUGUUUCCGUGCACCGUCCAACAAUGACGUCACCACUGUUUCUGCUCAAGCAACUGUAGUGGGAACCAGGCUGUCUCUGCCUCCACUUGAAUGAAUGCUGUUGAGCAGAAGAAAUGAACCAAGUUUAACUUUGUACAGAGAGACAGGGCAGUGUUGCACAUACUGAUAUUUUUAAUGUUUUAGGUAUGAUACUCAAGUACAUGAAAAAAACAUUAAAUUACAGCUGUAUUGUAAAUUAAACAUUUUUACACUUCGUGGCAAAAAAGGAGUGACUGAAGUCCCUGUGUGAGGAACACCACAAAACAAGUGAACACAAGUACAAUGAUGGACUGGACAGGUAUCAGCUUAACAAACUGAUGAAAUGCAACAAGUCUCACUCAGCACCUAUAAGGGUGUGUGCACAGAGAAAGCAGGUUACCAGCGCGCUGGUUUCCAGCGCCAACCCGCGCCGGGAACCAGCACGAUAGGGUGUUCACAGAGGACGCAGGUAACCAGUUUCGACCCGCUCGGUGAGCGACACAGACAGAGGCAGUAUCUAUCAUCAGUGUACAAGAUGUUGAGCUCAUCGUCUGACGAUGACUUCAUGCUGCUUGAUAGUGUUCAUACAAAAGUCAAGAGAAAAAGAAGAGCAGUACAAGAAAUAAACUACAAGAGAGAAGAGUUUGGAGAAUAUCAUCAUCUUUUCAGUGAUCUGAAAAGGGACAACGCAAGAUUUUUUGAAUACACAAGGAUGACACAAGAGACAUUCAACUACAUUCUCAAGAAAGUUGAACAUCGUCUUGUGAAGACAUGGUGUAAUUGGCAUGAGCAACCCAUUCAACCUGAAGAAAGACUUGUCAUUACUAUCAGAUGUAAUGGAAAGGCCUCGCAGGAAUCCCCGGCCCCCUGGUGCCCUCAGUGACUACCUGACUGUGGUGGAGCCUGAGGAGAAAAGUAUUUAUGUGGAAGAAAGCAUUGGGGAGCAGCAGCAGCAACAGCAGCAGCAGCAGCAGCAGCAGCAGCAGCAGCAGCAGCAGCAACAGGAGGAGAAACAAGAGAAGCAGAUGGAAGCCAAAGACACCAGUCAAACAGAAGUGGACAGAAAGUUCCUCCUGUCCCAACCAUACAAAUGCAGGGAGUGCAAAGCUUGUUACCGCAGCCGAGUUGCUUUGCUUCGUCAUGCUGUCAAGCAUAGUGGAGAGAAACCAUUUGUGUGUUGUGAGUGUGGGCGUGGCCUCUCCAGCCAGUGUGCCCUCACUGAGCACAUGAACAUCCACACCAACAACAGGCCUCACAGGUGUGAGGAGUGUGGCCUGGAGAGCCGGCAGCUGAGUGUUCACCUGCGGCACAUGCUAACCCACCAGGCCCAGCCGCAGCACAAGUGUUCAGUCUGCUCCAGGUCAUUCAAGCAAAAUGAGUACUUGAAGAAGCACAUGCGCAAACACACAGGGGAGAAGCCAUUUGUGUGUGAGUUGUGCAGUAAAUCAUUCACAUGCAAGAGUGAGCUGAAUCGCCACAGCAAGCGCCACUCCUCUGAGAGACCCCACUCUUGUGCUGACUGCGGCAAAAGUUUCAAGAUGAGGCACAACCUGCACAAGCACCUAAGGGCACACGCUGGGACACAGCAGUGGAAGUGCCUCAUGUGCUCAGCAGUCUUCUCCAAACUCAAGCUGCUAGAGGAACACAAGAGGUCACAUCUAGAGACAGUGCAGCAGCUGCAGAUCAGCAGGCCAGAUGACAGUGUGCUGGUCAUUUCAGCUGAAGGGGAUGACCGCCGCAAGCUGCCAACCGUCCACACCAUCAUGGUUCCCAAAGAGAGUCUCAUUGCUGAGAACAGUGAUGUCAACUCAAAAAAACAUCUAAGGAUAAAUGGCACAAGCUUGCCACUUGAACUGAUCCUCAAGUCUGUUGCAAAAGGAGGGAAUAUUAAGAUUAAGAUCAUAGACAAGCCAGCACAACCCAGGAUACAGUCUUGUGCCACAACUGAGAAUAUUGUUGAGCUUGUGGAUGAAGAUGCCAACAAGCCAGGGGGACUCAGCCUCUCCAAGGAUUCCACUCAUCACCUGCAGGAGACCAGUUCAACACAAGAUAGUGCUAUGCAGAGUGUGAAUCAAGAAGCUGUGAAGGUUGCAAGUGUGUUAAGUGUGCCAGCCAGUAUACAGAGUCAUUGUCUCUCUAAACACUACCACCAGGUCAGUCCAGCCUGCUCAGACUACUGUUGCUGGCUGGCCACCUUUGUCUCAUUCUGCCAGCAACUCUGUCCACCCUUUGAUCCAGAGAUUUGCAAACAUCUAAGCUUCAUGACAACAGCAUUGCAGAAUUGCCUCGUGCAACAACCUGACAGUUCAAAGAUAUCUCAGAUGGGGGAGCUUGGGAGUGCACUGACCUGCCACACACAUACCCAAUACCAGUUCAUCUAUAAGCAGUACAGGGCAGUGCAGGAGAUACUCACCACACACUUUGCUCACUACAUCACUGAUGCUAAUUAGUAGAACUAGAUUCCUGCACUCUGAACUUUUCUUGGAAGUCAUCCUGUGUCUGAGAAUUGACCAGUUGUGAAAAAGAGAAGAACUAAAAUGCAAUAAGGAGUGAGCAUUCUGACACCACAUGUCCAAUGCUCAUGAUCACCACCUAUCCACCAAGAUCAAAGCCACCUCCAUCCUGACUUGCAAAGGCAACAUCCCUACAGGUGCAGACACAGCCAGCAUCAUAGGGGACACAGUGCAUUACAUAACAGCACAGCCUCUACAGAAAAAUGCAACUUUAAGACACACAGGGGGAAGUCACCUUCUUCCGGCGUGCUGUCUUGGUCUCAGGAAGCUGGUUCUCUUCGUCACUGUUGGUGCCUCCAGAACCACGACGCUGCUGAGGGAAGCGCUUCUGAGGGACAAACGAAGUGCUGUUGCUGUCUGUUUUUAUUUUUUAUGCUUUUGGACAUCGUGGAUAUAACUAAGGCUUGUACUCUUAAAUGUUUUUGUUUCCUCAUUAUGACUAUUUUCAAAGGUGAUAAGGGAUGAUUAGUUGGGCUCUUAAGAUGCUUUCUCAAUGACAGUGUAGAAUCAUUCUUAAGCUAUCACUAGAAUAAUGAAAACGUGCUUCAAACCUAAGUCAUCUUAACCCUUUCACUAUGAAGCAUGCAGUGUGGCCCCAGCAGCACAGUACAAGGGACAUGUCACGCCACUUUCAAGUGUACAUCAGCCAUUUAACAUUUUUUGCAUUUUUUUCAAGGAUUAUUUUGCAUGUUUUAUUUCAUUAUAUACCUGAUUUUGAGCAAGAAAGGUAUACAUGCCAUCAUACGUAACAGGGUGUCAAAUAAUUCUGUUCAAAUGACCAUUUUUCUUAGGAUGUUUGACAAAAAACCAAGCAGCUCUCUCAUUCACCCAGUCAUGUGACUUGCCAACCAGUUCAUCACUUGAAGAAAAGUUUGAAGCUAAAAGUGAUGAAUCAAUAAGUGCAAGAUUAAGUCCAUAGAACUGGGAAAGAAAUUGCAGUGGUACAUCAGGACACUUGUCAGAAAACACAUCUGAUAUCAACCUCCAAUCUUCCUCAACCUCCUUCAUCUCAGCCUCAGAGACAUCAGUCUCAUCAUCACUACAGGAAUCAUUAUCAUCACUAUCCAUCCCCACUAUUAUAAGAAAGAUCAUCCAUACUGUAUGGAAGACAGACAAAUUUAUAUCAGCAUCAAAGAUUCACCCCCCACUGCCAGGAUGGGGAGUUGCCAUAUGAGUGGUACUGAGAUUAUUUUUUAUGAUUGACUGACAAGUGAAGGGGGUGGAGCCAAAGAUCUGAGUGACUGAGGCAUGUGAAGGCCACCCAGCUCUGCCUGCACCAGAAAACAGGAUUUCAAACUCUCAAUAUGUACACUGACAUGUGACUGACAUCAUUGUAGUGAAGGGGCUAAGUACAGUCUGCUGAAAGUAGUCCUUAAUUCUCCUUUUCCUUUUACAUAAUUAUUAUGAUAAUAAUUAUGUCCUAUCUCCUUAAAGGUAUUCUCUCUCUCUCCCUAUUCUCAUUUAGUCCCUCCUUCCCAUACCACCAUCACCACCACUCACCUUGAACAGUGCACCAGCCUUCUUGGUGAAGAGGACAGAAGUGCGUCGGUUCACUCCUGAUGGUGAACUGGGCACUGAGGGCGGCUCUGAUUCUGGGGCAUCCUCACUGCUCUCCUUGGCCUGGGUUGCUGCAUCACCUGCCUCACUCUCCACUGACAAUUAAUUAAUAUUAUGUAAUUUUGGUACCACAAUUCAAGGGUACAAGAUGCUGCACACAAAAAAUGGUCCACUUUCUUCAUGCCUCAGAAUUAUUUCUUUUGAAUUUUGUCAUAAAUGCUCAGUACAGAUGUUGGGGAAAUUUUUUUUUAAAUGGUCAUUUUAUUUUCAAUAGUGUUAAGGAAAGGCUACGAGAAACAAAAAAAUAUACACACAAGAAAAAUGUUUAUAAAUGUAUCUUGUUUUCAACACCAAUACUUAGCAUAUCAAAAAGUGAACAAAAAAUGUAAUCACUGGUCACCAAUGUACAGGGAAAAUCACAUGUUAUGUUAGGAAGUGUGGACCUGUAUUCUGAUCACUUGGAAACAAAACAAGAUUCAGGGAACUUACAUUUCUUUGCUGGGGGGCUUGCACAUGGGCCAGAGAGGGUACGUGGUCUCUUUGGGGGUCGACCGGGACCACGCUUCUUGGGUGUUUCAUGAGCUGAGUCUGUUCAAGGGCAUGGAAAUGCAAGAAAUAUAUAGAAAUUACACUUUUAAGAUACAGAAAUUAAAUGAGUGAAUAUACUAUUGACAAGGCAAUGUAGUACAGUGAACCCUUGUUAUAUCAGACUAAUUGGGGGGAAGCCAGUGAUGACAAAGAUGAAGAUCCAGUAAAAGCAGGUGUCGGAUUCCCCUUCACACAUUGUUUCACUUACAAAAGCAAUGUCUACUUACUUGCCCCCUGCUCUCCCUGGCAGUUUCUCUGCUGUCAGUGUCACCCUAUUACCUGUACUCCAUAACUCUAUCCUCAACCAACCAGAAUAGAGCCAAUUGGCAGCCCAACACUCAAUUUGUUAUUGAAAUUUGCCCAAGAAAUUAAUACCACCAUUAGAAAAAAAUACCACUGUUUCACAAAUGUAUAUCUAGCUCAACCCCUCAAGAUAAUGUUAAAAACAUGAAAUAUCCCAAGCAAAAAAUUCCCAAGAUCCCAAGAUGAAGUGUGAAAUCUCAAGAUCUUGGGAAAAAUCCCAAGGUCUGGUCACCUUGAGACUGAGGCAGAUGCAGUGUGUGGGUGCGGUGUGCACUCGCCACUACCACCACAACCAACAUUCUCCUUCCCACCCUCCCUCACUCACUCACUCCCUUACCGCCACUGCCGCUGGCUGGACAUUCAACCUCAUUUACCAACCUUUGUCUGAUAAAUCUGAUGGAUGGUCCAUAGGACAUACAUAUCGAUAGAUGCAAAAUCCGAUAUAACAAGGAUUUACUGUAAUAAAUUACUAGCAUUCUGAAAGCUUUGUUCCAUGUUUGCAGAAAUCAGCCUCAGUCACAGAAUAAAGAAAAGAUAGUACAGAAAUGGCAAUAACAGCAGUAAAUAAAAAGGAGCAGGAUUAGAAGAAAAUGAGAAGGAUUAGAAGAUAAAAAAAAGGAAGAAGAGAUCAAAUAAAGGAAAGAAUUAAUGAAAAGGCUUAAAAUGGAGGAGAAAGGGCUACAAGAGCACCAACAAUCAGCUGUCACCACCACUACAAAGCCUCACCUUCAGGUUUGCUAGCCUUUGCCUCAUCAGCCACAGCAGCAGCACUGCUCUCCUGCUGCUGUGGCUGUGAUUCCUGGGCACUCUUCUGUGAUGGUUUGGUUAUCCGGGUGAAGAAGGAGUCAAUGCGCUUCUGAGUGUGGUCAUCCUGAGGCAAGAAUACAAAAGAAAGGUCACCAAAAAUCAUUUGUUUAAUAUCCUUUUUCUCUUUUAAGUUUGAAUGAAGCCCACCAAAUGUGGGCUUAUUAAAUGUACAAUGUGGAAAAAAAAAAUUAGAUAUGAGCAAAAUGAGGAAGUCUGUGAUAUACUAUUCUGUGCAUGCUGAACCAUGACCUACCUUAGGAGUGUUUUUGCCAAUCUUGCGGUGGUGGAGGCUGCGUGGGGAGGGUGUGGUCAUGGGAGAGAGAGCCAUGCCACUCACCCUACCAGGCCCAGAGGAGAGGCUAGUGGUGUGGGCCAGGUGUGAGGCAGCCAGCUGGGAGGCCAGGGCAGGUGGGGUGCUUGGUCGGCUUGGCUCACCAGGUUCAGCCUCAUCGUCAAUCACCGAACUGUCAUCAAUGUCUGCGAAGGGCAAAGAUUAUUAUGAUUAGUUGCAUAAUGCUGAGACUGUGCUGACAAUGAGGAGCUAUCACCAACCUGGUAAAUGUUUGUGAGUGGUAAAGACUUAAUAUAGUAAAGAGCUUAUAUAAUCUAUUUAUCACCAUUCUCUAAUGCCUUCCUCCAUCCAAGAGUCCUGGAAGAGAAUGGCCACAGUAGAAGAGCCUCCAUCUGCCUAUCCAAAACACUCCCUUCUUGCCUACCUUUCCAAAACAUCCUUUCCUAUUAGAACCUUCAAUGAGAGUGUUCACAUUAGUGUUAGAGAUGCUAAAUAUACCAGAAAUUUUGAUUCCUGAUGUGUUGUUGUGGACUAUACAGAAAGCUUAUAUUCAAGUAUAUCUUAGUAUAUCUUAAUAUAUCUUAAUAUAGAAUAUCGUAAGUAUAUUAAAAAAUCUUAGAUACUAUUUUAAUCAUUCAUUUCAGGUAGAUGACUUAGAAUGUGCUAAUAAAUUAGUUACAAGUUAUAUAUACAGGAUCCUUUUCAUUAUCUGCUAUUUAUUUUUCACAAUUAUCAACCAGUAUAAACAUUAUGUGAAUUUGUUAAGAAUAUGGUAAAAACAAUCAGUACAACUAAGGAGCUAUUUUAGUAUUCUUCACUGUGUAAACUCACACCUUCGUGAAGGUGUGAAGGAUAAAUUGUAAGAUCAAAUUAGCCAAUUUGUUGUAAAAUUAUAUGGGUGCCAGAGCUCCCCACUACCAAGCAUACAAGUGUAUGUCAAAAUAGUUCACUAUGACUCACAAUAUAGAGUAAGCGACACUUGCAAUUAGAACAACCACUGACAUGAGCUUCAUAUUGCACAAACUGGCAGCUUGCCCCUUCUUGGUCUGAAAAAAUCUGCCAGGAGAUAAUAACUACAUGGCAACUUAGGAUAGCCCCUAUGUUUUUGGAAGCAUAGAAUAAUGGAUUUUAGUGUUUGUCAUAUUGACAUAGGGGAAAGUUAUCUUUAGUGACCACUCCUUUCUCUGGCUAACAAGAUGGCUGUGUUUGUUUUAAACAAAGUAUUCCACUGAGGUGAUGUGUGAUGCCUGGAAAAUAUAUAAAUGUAACAAAUUGAAAAAAUAUGCCAUAUAACUAUUACCAAUGAAAAGACUGUGAGUGCAUUGGUGAAGAAAUGUAGCAAUGAGGGAUGCAAGGAUGUGCCUCACCACAAACAUGGUGGUAGCACACCCUAGAAUGUUUUACAUCAUCUUACAUGAUAUCAAAAGACAGUUAAAGCCUCAGCAAAACAACUAAAAAAACAAACAUUUGGGGGUGCACCACCACCAUGUUUGAGGUGAGGCACAUCCUUGCAUCCCUCAUUACUACAUUUCUUCACCAAUGCACUCACAGUCUUUUCAUUGCCAAUAGUUAAGUGGAAUAUUUUUCAAUUUGUUCCACCAUUCUAGUGAAACUCUAACACUCAUACUAAGUAAUCAUGGCUUAUAUAUUUUCCAGGCAUCACACAUCACCUCAGUGGAACACUUUGUUUAAAACAAACACAGCCAAUUUGUUUGCCAAGGAAAGGAGCGGUCACAAAAAGAUAACCUUCCCCUACGUCAAUAUGUCAAACACUGAAUCCAUUACUCUAUGCUUUCAAAAACAUAUGAGGGGCUAACCUAAGUUGCCAUGUAGCUAUUUUCUCCCAGCAGAUUUUUUCAGACCAAGAAGGGGCAAGCUGCCAGUUUGUGCAAUAUGAUGCUCAUGUUGGCGAGAAUUCUAAUCAUGAGUGUUGCUGACUGUAGGUGCUGUGGCUGACUGCAAAUCAGAUUCUAGAGAAACGAGGACAAGAUAAAGAGUGCUAGUACUGUCAGAGAAUGGGUAAAGUUUACAUCCGCAAAGAAUGAACCAAAAAGAACAUGGUUUUGUUUUGGUUCAGUAGAGUCUGUCGCUCCUCACACCUGGCAGCAAUCAGCAGUUUCUUUUUUCUAACAAAUUGGUUUUUGAAUAAAAUUUUGAACUCAUAAUUGCUUCGGUUACCGAACCAUAAUUCAGUUCUCAAAGAAAGUUACUUGAUUUCAAAUACUAAAGACAAAGCAAAAGCUGCUGUUUGUUACUAAUUUAUACUUUUCUAUAAAUAUUUCCAUCAUUUUUAUGUACUUGGAAGAGAGACAAUGGGUAAGACAGUAAUUGAAUCUUUUGAAAUAAGUUAAAUGUAAUCCUGUUGAAGAGGCUCAAUGUAAACAAAGUUUUCAUGACUUGAAUUUGGAAGUAAUCCUGAGCCACCUGUGACUCUCUCAAUGACUCACACCACCAUCACUACUGCAUAACUGCAUUUUCCCAGUAGCUUUUUCUAGCAGCAAGAUGUCUAAGUAUUAUGAUCUUCAUUUUGGUGGCAAGUGGAGUUGCUCCUCUCUGUGUCACUCUGUAAGGCUUCCCACACUAGAUCAAUGACAAAGAGAAACUGCAACUGCACAGUCUAAACAGUAUCUUCUGAUGAGUUCCAUGUCAUUAAAUCAAUUCAAUACGUCCUAUCUGGAUAAAUAAUUUCUGAGCUGGAGAUGUGGACCAGCCAUCUUGGCAGUGGGAGCAUCUGUCAUAAGCCACUACAGGUGGACAUGUGUCUGAGAACAGAUUAAUUCAUUUUACAUUGACUUCUAUGUGGAAAAUAGUUUUGGUUUCAAAAUAUUUCAGAUUUCGAAUGGCUUUCAGGAACAAAUUAAGUUCGAGAACCAAGGCUUCACUGUAUUUAAUCAUAAAAAAAGAAAUAUUAGAUAUGCAUAAACCUGAUAAAUAUCCAUCCUUUGUUGUAUAUAGUUAACAUUACAGAUCCCAUAAAUCAACCUCACAACUAUUUUGUUAGUGCAUUGUAAGGCACAGGAAAUUAUGCAGAAUGAUUGUGCAUGAAAGGAAUUAAUGGAGAGCAGUUGUGGGUACAUGAGGAAUGACACAGUCUUGUAACCUCCAAAGAAGACACCACAUAUCAAUGGUCUCAUACAAAUGUGGGGCAAUUGGCUGUGGUAAGGGAGAGUACUUAUUAUGAAGGAGCCUUGUUUCCAGAUCAAACUGUCCAACCUGUGCAUUUGAUCUGCAUAAAAAUAGGGUAUGAGUACUUUCUUUUUUUGUCAAGGGCCAAUGGGCUGAGAGUGGUGUGAAUGAGUGUGAAUGUGAAAGUUGUGUGCCUUGUCUUGACACUUUUUUUGGGAGACAGCCUUGGUAUAUGUAUGUAUAUUUGUGGAUUCUGGUGAGAAACCUAUGUAUCACUGAGCUGUUGUCAAUGUCAAGGAGAGGCAAAGACAGCAUUGUUUACUCCAUGCAACAGAAUCUGGUUGGGCUUGUGUCAACUGUGAUAAAUAAUCUUAAGAGUUUAUUUCUCAUGAAUAAAUAAUGCUUCAAAGCUAGGAAAAUUUUUAAUUUAAUUUUGGGAAUGUGUAUACCUAUGUAUGUGUGUGUAUGGGUGCCUUGUCUCUUCUAUCAGCCUGAUAGAUGCAUAUAUACUUGAAAUUUUACAAAAUUAUUUAUCUACUGGCACCAGCCUCUAUGAUUCCAUUACAGAGAACAAAGGCCCCCCCAACCUUCUCUACUUGGUUCUGUCAGUUCCUCAUAUAUUUCAGUCCAUCAAAACUUUGUUUUAUGCAAUACUUGGCCAUUCCUGAAAUGGAAAGGAGGAGAGCAAGAAUGAGUGAAUGAGUGAAUAUGAGUGAGUAAAGUGAGGGAGGGAAUGAAUGGUUAGGUAAGUGCAAAAGUAAUGGAAUGAGUUAAUUAAAAAUGUAUUGAUGAGUGUGAGUGAACGAAUAAGCCAGCAAGCAAGAGGAUAAAUGAUUGCAUGUAUGAACAAGUAAGUAAAUGAGAGAAACCUAGGUAUAUGGACAGACAGACAAACCAACAGACAUCAUUUACUCACCUGAAUCCUCCUUCUCUGACUCAUCAUCUGUGUCAUAGUACACAGCAUUGGACUUCUGACUUGCGCUCCCGGACUGACUCAGUGCCAACUUCCUCCUCACGAUGCCAAUCUCACGCCUGGCACAGGAAAGAAGUGGAUUUUCUUAACUGAGAACCCAACAAAUCACCUACGUGGCUUUUUGAAAAGUCCCAAUGAAAGAACAGUGUUUCGGAAUACAGGCCUCCAUGUGCCUACCUGAUGAGCUUCACUCUCUUGAUGCGUGCCACGUGAUGUCUCAGAAGGUUGGCUUUGUCCAGCAGCUCCAGCAGUGCCUUCUCUCGCUCCUCCAGGCUCCAGCACUCAUCCGCAUCUGCUGCUAGCGCCUCAUCCACUGCUCAGAGAGGUGAUGUUGUCAUGAGGGUUUGAUAGUUUCAUUCUAUAUUAAGACUAAAUUUGUCAAGAAUCUUUAUAUUUUUUCUUUACUGUUUGCAUUAGUUUUAAGAUUUUCCACUUUAAAGAUUCGUCAGUGUUGUUAUGAAGGUUUGAUAGUGUUAUGCUAUAUUAAAUUUAUAAUAAUAGUAAUUUUUAUAUUAUUUCUUUACAGUUUGCAUUAGUUUUAAAAUUUUCCACUUCAAGGAGAUAUUUUUUGUUUUAUUUCCUAUUGUUUAAAUAUCUUCAUGUUUUAAACAAAUUAAGCAUCUUUUCAAUUAUUUCUUUAUUUUACUGUUCUGAGUUUUAGUUUUAAAUUAAAUUCUAUGAAUGGACUGUUUACCUUCCUUAAUAAUCUUGUUAUCUGAUAUCUCUGGGAGUGGCUUGGGACGGUGGGGAAGGAGGAGGCCAGUCUCCAUAUCAAAGCCAAUGACCUCCACAUUUCUCCUUAGCUGGCGGAUGAUGGCGCCUCCCUGCAGGGUGGGAAGGAGUGGUAAUGUGUUGAGAGAGAGAGAGAGAGAGAGAGAGAGAGAGAGAGAGAGAGAGAGAGAGAGAGAGAGAGAGAGAGAGAGAGAGAGAGAGAGAGAGAGAGAAGAAUGUGUAUAGGAAGAUAAGAAAAAGAAAAUGGCAUUAAGGAAGAAUUAUACCUAAACAAAUACAACAUAAAUGAAGAAGAAAAGCAUAAAAAAGCAUAAAAAUCAAAACAUACAGUAAAACAACUCAACAAUUCAAUGGGAAUAUCAAAUUCAAUGGGAAUAUUUCUGUGAUACCAAAAUGUGUCCUUGAUGACUAAAACUGUAGACAUGAUGGUGAAUUCUCUAACCAAACAGGCUCCUUUACUCACCUGGUCGCGCAGCUUGACAGCUGUCCGAUAGAAGAUGGUCUCCUUGGCGUUGUAGACCAGGCAAUUCUCAAUCAUGAGCUCAAAGUCACUGGCAAACUGGUCCACAUCCAUGUACUGAUGUGUCUGAGCCUUUUGCCGCAUGGUGGAGAGGUCCAUUGGGUGCUUCACCACGUCCAGGUAGUCGUGCACCUAGCCAAGGAAAUGAUUGGGUUUAUUUAGUCUAAUAUUUUUGUUAUAUAAAUGGCACAGAACAUGAAAGACCAAAGAAAGAAAAGAAAGAAAAGCAAGUUAUACAAGGGAAAGAUUUUGUUUAUAUCUAAUUUUUUUGUAAUAUGAAUAACACAUUAACAAAAUGCUACAAUAACCUGAAAGCUCUUCUAUUGUGACCAUCAACUUUAAAGAAGUUAUUAUAAACAAAUACCAGAGUUCAUUACAUUACAUCAAAAUAUUGUUCAAGAGAUCAAAAAAAUAGUUCAAUAAGACAGAGUGCCAACCAGUCAGCAAGCCAAUCAGUCAAACAGACAGAUACAGACAGCUAUGCCCUCCACCUACCUCCACCAAGUCAACAGGUUCAGCAAAGAUCAUCUGCUGGUCCUUCUCCUGGAUCUGGUCAAUGGUUUGCAGCAGCAGGUGGACAAAGGGAGCCAGCUGCACCUUCUUCUCCUCUGCUUUCCUGCAACAUACAGAGCCAUUUAGUGUGUGUGUGUGUUUUAAGCAGAUAGAAUGAGCACUAAUUGAACCUUUGUGUGUGUGUGUGUGUGUGUGUGUGUGUGUGUGUGUGUGUGUGUGUGUGUGUGUGUGUGUGUGUGUGUGUACUCUGUUUUAUUAUCUUACAUAUUAUAUUGUGAUUUGCAGUAAUUGUUUUGUUUAUAUAAUAACCUGAAGAUGUCAAUAAAAUAACUACAUUUUUAUCAAUCUGUCUGUACUUCCUUUGUACAUUAAAAGGAAUAGGCAUUUCUUUAAUAACAAAAAAAAAAAAAAAAAAAACUGAGCACUUUGCGCUUCAGAAAUAUAGCACAAGAUACAUUGGCAACACUUACGCCUUGACCAAUUCCCUCUUGGUCUUCUCCCUCUUCCUAAUCAGCUCACACAAUAGCCUAGCCCUCUCCAGGUCCUGUCGCAGUCGCUGCCAGUACUUGAUCUCCUCUCUCAGACCCUCCGCCUCCUGGUGUGCAGGAAAGUAAAUGUGAAGUUAAAGGUAAAAACAACACAGGAUACCUACCUACUUAAAGAACUUCAUUAUUAUUAGAACAGUUUUAGGGAAUCUUUUAACUGAAAAGAAUCUAUCAGGGGAUCACAAGACACCUUUAAAAAGAAUAAUAAAGAAUAAUAAUCUGAACAGCUUGUGGUGAAUCAUAACAUCACAGAAUGCCAUCUUACCUAAAAUAAAAUCAAACUCACCAAACCAACACCUUUAUGAAAAUCUGAACAUGAGUUACAUGGAGCUUAAUGUAAGUAAUUUCCUUUUGGUCAAAAUCAAUAGAUCAACUACAAUACUUUUCAUAAAAACUGGAAGGAUGAUCCUCUGCUGGUACAACCUUUACACACAUCAGCUGACAGACCUUUUUGUUAAACAUGAAAAAAAGCUGUAAAUCAUAAGGCAGUAGAGCACCCACACACCAACACUCACAUUCAUGACUCUCUCCUUGUCCUUAACACCGACAGCCUUCUCCUCAACAGGGCGCGAGGUGGUGUUGCUGCGGCGGGCAUGUGAGGUGGUGAGGCGGCGCAGCAGUGGCACACCAUUGCGGGACUGUCGCUUAAGGGUCCAGUAGGCCAGCAAGCGGUGCAUGAACUGGGAGCGCUUCUGCAUGUUGACCAGGGCAGCCAAUUUCUGAAUACUGACACAGUAAUGGUGAGGCAGGGGAGGGUCAGGCAGGACAUACACGGGCAAACUCUCCAUGCUGUGUCCAGGAUUCAAGUUUAUCAUUCGUCACAAUUAAGAGUGACAACAUCUGCAGAGCUACUUGGUACUACAAGCUUUAGUUAUCAGUAAUAGUCACUGGUUUGCUGAAGUAACUUUGAUGUUACAGCACAAUGAAUAAAGUUAGCAAAGUUUCCAUUAA